rnacentral:rRNA from 1 species
CCUACGGGUGGCAGCAGUGAGGAAUAUUGGUCAAUGGCCGGAAGGCUGAACCAGCCAAGCCGCGUGAAGGACGAAGGUGCCAAGCAUUGUAAACUUCUUUUGCCAAGGGACAAAAUCAGGCUCGAGAGCCUGACCGAGGGUACUUGAAGAAAAAGCAUCGGCUAACUCCGGGCCAGCAGCCGCGGUACUAUGGGGGAUGCGAGCGUUAUCUGGAUUUAUUGGGUUUAACGGGUGGGUAGGGGGGCUGUUAAGUCAGCGGGAAAAGCCCGGGGCUCAACCCCGGCGAGCCGUUGAAACUGGCUGUCUUGAGAUGUCGAGAGGUAUGCGGAAUGCGCAGUGUAGCGGUGAAAUGCUUAGAUAUUGCGCAGAACUCCGAUUGCGAAGGCAGCAUACCGGCGGCGAUCUGACGCUGAGGCACGAAAGCGUGGGUAUCGAACAGGAUUAGAUACCCCUGUAGUC